rnacentral:lncRNA from 10 species
AAAAAAUGCCACAAAGUAAAAGACAAGCGACAAACUGGGAGAUAAUAAGACAACUUUUGCAGACCUCUGGUCCGGACAAUGAACAACCCAUAGAACAAGAUCUGAUUUGUAAUGUUUGCUGAUCUCCAAAGUGUAAAUACUCCCACCAUGACCAAUUGGAAGCCACUGACAAGUCCUCACUAAAUGCAGAAUUGAGAAGAAACACGAAUAGCACAUCAUUGUAUGGUAUUUCCACUCUACCAAUGGAUGUGAAUAACCUCAAGAACACAUAAUGUUGAGAUGUGGAAAAAUCAUCAGGAAGCCUCUCCCCUUCACCCUGCAGUGUCUCUGCAAUGCUGGUAGAGUGGGCUGGCACAGCCCCCGCCUCUGGCCUGGUCCGGGUCCAACCUGCCUGCCUCCUGGGGCAGCAGCUCCCUGAACGAAGAGCCGCGGAGACCGAAGAACUCAGUGAAUCAGCAGUUCUCCCAGAUGAAACGCUGGCCUGAAAGCAGCCUCAAGAGCUUUGGCCCGUCACCUUGCCUUGCCUUCUCUUCCUUCCUCGUCCUCUGUUUGUUCAUCUUUCCUGAAAAAAUUAAGUCAGCUGUUCCCCUUAACCAAUUUCCCUGGCAUUCUGAAGGGUAGGCCACAUGGCCCACCUGCCAGCUACUCCCACCUGCCAAGCCUUCCUGACUAUAUUUACCCUGGUACUCCCAUGUCCCGGGGCUGCUUCAGCAGAGCCAAGGACACACCCAGGUGUUUGUUUUCUAGGUCAGAUUUCCUCAGCCAUGGGUGUAUCUGUGCUUGUCCCUCAAAAUCCUCAUAGCUCCUUUCCCCACCCCAACUUCCAGGCCAGACGGGGUUCAGGGGUGUCUCAGCUAAGGUUCCCCUGAAGCAGACACAAAUUAGUACAAAAGGGACUUAUUAGGAGGUGAUCCUUAAAAAUUUGGGCAGGAGAAUGGAAAGGGUGGACACAGACAAAAAGGAUGCCAAGUGAGAAUGUGAUGAUUACUGCUGCAGUUUUCUACAGCUGCCUGUCAAACUAUCCCAACACAGUGGCAUUGACCAGCAGCCAUUUUCGCUAUGCCCACAGCUUCUGUGGGUCAGGCGUUUGGACAGGGCAAUGGGAACAGCUUGUUUCUGUUCCAUAGUGUGUGAGGGAGGCCUCAACUGGAAAACUCAAAGACCGGGGUGGCUUGAUGACUGGAGGCUGGAACCAUCCGGAAGCUUCUUGAAGCUGGGUUGACUUACAUGUGGUCUUGCAUGUGAGUUGGGCUUUUCACAUCAUGGCUGUUGGGUUCCAAGAGGCAGUGUCUGGGGAACAAGAGUUCCAAGACACCAAGGCAGAAGCUGCUAGACCUUUUUUGACCUCGCUUCGGAUGUCAGCAAUGAAGUUCUGUGGAUUCAACUGCAUUCUAUUGGUUACCAGCAGUCGCUUGAAUCUGAUUAGCUCCAAAACUGAGUGAGCCUCUGGCAAGAGUGCAUUGCAGAAGGGCACAUCCAAUGAGAGGCGCUGCUGUAGUAACAGGGACCUCUCCAAUGGCCUGUUUGAGUGCUCUCAGAAUAUGGCACCUGGGUUCCUCCAGAGCAAGUGAUCUGAGAGAGAGCAAGGAGAAGGCCACUCUGCCUUUCAUGACUCAUCUCAGAAGUCACACACUAUCACAGGUUCUGUUCUGUUCAUUGGAAGUGAGUCAUGAAGUCCGGCCCACACUCAAGAGAAAGGAAAUUAUGCUCCUUCUUUUGAAAUGAGUGUAAGAAAGUAAAACUUUGUCAAAUGUGUAUGUGUGUGUGUGUGUGUGUCCCUAAACUAUGUGUCUUUUUUUUUAAUCUUUCCUAAAUGGAAUCACACUGUGAGUGUUCUGUGACUUGAAGUUUCACAAGACAUUAUAUUUCUGAAAUCCAUUCAUGUUGACACACUGUAUUAGUUUGCUCCAGCUGCCAUAACAAAAUACCACAGACUAGGGGCUUAAACAACAGAAAUUUACUUUCUCACCAGUUCUGGAGGCUGAAGUUCGAGAUCCAGGCAUGGGCAGGAUCAGUUUCUCCUGGGGCCUCUGUCCUCGGCUUGCAGAUGGCAUCUUCUCCCUGUGUCCCCACAUGGUCCUCCCUCUGUGUGAGUCUGUGUCUUCAUCUCCCCUUCUUAUAAGGACACCAAUCAGGUUGGAUUAGGGGCCACCCUAAAGACCUCACUUUAACUCAAUCACCUCUUUAAAGAACCCACCUCCAAAUAUAGUCCUGAGGUCCUGGGGGUUAGGACUUCAACAGAGGAAUGCUGGGGAGACACAAUUCAACCCAUAGCAUGCAUAUAAUUGUAGUUUGUUAAUUUUCACUACUCUAUAGUAUCCCAUUUUAUGAACAGACAAAAGUAUAUUAUUUAUUCUACCAACAAUGGAUAUUUUGGUUAUUUCCAGUUUUUUGUUAUUAUAGAUGAUACUGCCACAAGCAACCUGGCUCCCAUGAACAUGUAGCAUAUAUGCAUCUCUAUAUUUACUGUUAAUCCCAAUUCUUUUACAAAGUGGUUGCACCAGUUUACACUCCCACCAGCAGCAUAUCGGAGUUACUCCACAUUCUUACCAAUAUUUGGUAUGGUCAGAAUCCUUAACUUGCUAAUCUCAUGGUUGCAAAAUAAUAUCUCUUUUGUGGCUUUAAUUAGCCUUUCCCAGAUUACCAAUAAGGCAGUGAAUCUUUUCAUUUGUUUAUGAAAUGCUUUUUCAUUUCCUCUGUCCAUUUUUCCACUGGGUUGUUCACUCUGCCUUACUGAUUUGUCAAAAGUCUUCGCAUAUUGCAGUUGCAAUUACUUUGAUCACCUGUGGCUUGUCUUUUCAGAUUCUCUUGCCAAUUUUUGUCCACCUUGGCUCCUCUUCUUUUGCCCGUCUCUUGUUCGUGUCCCUCUUGGGUCCUGUUCUCUCCUUGUUCCACAUGUGAUCCCAUGUCAAUCAGUCCAAUGAAUAAAGUUUCCACUGCAUAUGCACCUGAAUCCUAAGUCUAUAUCUUCAAAAUAGCUCUUAAAAUCCACUGAACUCAGCCAGGUGCAGUGGCUCAUGCCUGUAAUCCCAGCACUUUGGGAGGCUGAGGUGGGCAGAUCACAUAAGGCCAGGAGUUCGAGACCAGCCUGGCCAACAUGGUGAAACCCCUUCUCUACUAAAAUUACAAAAAUUAACCAGGUAUGGUGGUGAAUGUCUGUAAUCCCAGCUACUUGGGAAACUGAGGCAUGAGAAUCGCUUGAACCCAGGAGGCGGAGGCUACAGUGAGCCAAGAUCAUGUCACUGCACUCCAGCCUGGGAGAUAGGGCAAGACUCUGUCUCAAAAAAAAAAAAAAAAAUCCACUGAACUCUUCAUGCUCUUUUCCUAACCUGUGAACUUUUGAACAUGUUUACUGCUGUUCAGGGAAUACCAUCUCCCAUCCUGGCCCCUGCUCCUCCCUAUACUCUGUAUAGCUAACUCCUGUUAACCUGCAAGUCUCAGGUCUCAGCUGAAGGGACCUCUUUUAACCAUGCUCCCAGAGUGCCCUAUAACUGUCACAUCACAGCACUUAGCACACAGUAUUGCCAUUAUCCUUUUACUCGGCUGUCUCUCCCACCAGACUGUAAGUCCCCAUGACACUGUACAUAGCAGCAUGUCUGUACAAAACUGACAUGCAAUAAAUCCUUGAUGGUGAAUUAAUUAAUAAUUCUUCAUGGGUAAAAAAUUAGGCUCACCAAUAAAACACAUGAGCACUCAAAUCAUUUGUACUAUUAAAACAUGUAUGUAAAUUCUACACAUUAAUCAUCAAAACAAUGUUAAAAUAACCUCUGAACCCUGAUCUCCCAAAAUAAAUGUAUUAUAAGUGUGUAAA